rnacentral:rRNA from 1 species
GACGUAGGGCGCGAGCGUUGUCCGGAUUUAUUGGGCGUAAAGAGCUCGUAGGCGGCUUGUCGCGUCGUCCGUGAAAACCUGCGGCUCAACUGCAGGCUGGCGGUCGAUACGGGCAGGCUGGAGUUCGGUAGGGGAGACUGGAAUUCCUGGUGUAGCGGUGAAAUGCGCAGAUAUCGUUUGGAACGCCAAUGGUGAAAACAGGUCGCUGGGGAUGAGCUGACGCUGAGACACGAAAGCCAGGGGAGCAAACGGG